UUAUGACAUGAUGAUAUGAUAUGGAAGUCCAGAUGUGGUCUGCACUGCGCCCCUGGCACUAUGUAAGAGAAAGACCGGAUGUGGCCUGUACUACGCCCCCGGCAUCAUGGAUUAUGUAUGUUAUGUUAUGUUAUGUAUAAGAGAAAGACCAGGUGUGGCCUGCACUACGCCCCUGGCAUGAUUGGAUUAUGUAGAGGGCUAAAUGGUGACAAGUUCAUCCUUGAUAUGAUUAGUUGUGAUGUGA
rnacentral:lncRNA from 1 species